rnacentral:lncRNA from 1 species
GGGUAUAAGGAUACAACCAGAGUGUGGGCAACAGUUGGUGGUAACAUGAAGGGGGGGACUAUACAUGGAGUGCAAACACCGGUGAUACCCAUAGUGUGGGCGAUGCUGGCUUGGCCGAGAUCAUGAGUGGGGUGCAAGUGGCAAACGAUAGGGUAGGCCUGAUCUUGAUAGCUACAUGGUAGAUUUUCAUUGGUUCUUACAAUUGUAUGUGCAUUGUUCAUGAUCGGGGCUAUAUACAAGUGAGGAUGCACAACACAAGAAUAAGUAACAAAGCACAGGCAUGCCAUGGCGUUAAACAUGAGAGAGAGAGAGAGAGAGAGAGAGAGAGAGUGAGUGGCAAGCUAGAAACGUUGAUUUAGAAGAGUACAGGAAAAAUAAAAGAAAAAAUAAUAAUAGCUUGCAGCCUUGAACCCAAAGGAAAACUAAUAGUAAGAAGAGUGCAAAGAUAAAAAGGA